ACUGAAUCCAUAGGUGCAAGAGGCGAACCAGGGGAACUGAAACAUCUAAGUACCCUGAGGAAAAGAAAUCAACCGAGAUUCCCUUAGUAGUGGCGAGCGAACGGGGAUUAGCCCUUAAGCUUCAUUGAUUUUAGCGGAACGCUCUGGAAAGUGCGGCCAUAGUGGGUGAUAGCCCCGUACGCGAAAGGAUCUUUGAAGUGAAAUCGAGUAGGACGGAGCACGAGAAACUUUGUCUGAACAUGGGGGGACCAUCCUCCAAGGCUAAAUACUACUGACUGACCGAUAGUGAACCAGUACCGUGAGGGAAAGGCGAAAAGAACCCCGGAGAGGGGAGUGAAAUAGAACCUGAAACCGUAUGCGUACAAGCAGUGGGAGCCUACUUGUUAGGUGACUGCGU
rnacentral:rRNA from 1 species